CCUACGGGUGGCUGCAGUGAGGAAUAUUGGGCAAUGCGCGCGAGCCUGAACCAGCCAAGUAGCGUGAAUGAUGACUGCCCUCCGGGUUGUAAACUUCUUUUAUAAGGGAAUAAAUUGAGGCACGUGUGCCUUUUUGUAUGUACUUUAUGAAUAAGGAUCGGCUCACUCCGUGCCAGCAGCCGCGGUACUACGGAGGAUCCGAGCGUUAUCCGGUUUUAUUGGGUUUAAAGGGAGCGUAGAUGGGUUGUUAAGUCAGUUGUGAAAGUUUGCGGCUCAACCGUAAAAUUGCAAGUGAUACUGGCUGUCUUGAGAUGUAGAGAGGUAUGCGGAAUGCGCAGUGUAGCGGUGAAAUGCUUAGAUAUUGCGCAGAACUCCGAUUGCGAAGGCAGCAUACCGGCGGCGAUCUGACGCUGAGGUACGAAAGCGUGGGUAUCGAACAGGAUUAGAUACCCGAGUAGUC
rnacentral:rRNA from 1 species